CAAAACAAGCAAGCUCACAAACAAGGCUGUUUACCCAGGAUGUAGCACAGUAACACACUCAAGAGACCAACUAAACUGCUCCUAAUUGUCUAACAGCUUACUAAUAUACAAGUUAAUUGUCCAUAUGCGCAAUUUUUCUUUUUUUUUCUUUUUUUUUAAUAAUUACUGCAUGGUUAGCAGGGCACCAAAUGCUCAAGAGUUGCGGGAUGUAUCCCAGUAUAAACAGGUCACAAUUGUCAUUCACUGACAGGAAAGGAGAUUUAGUUAGUAUCUUACUAACAGUGAUAGCGCUGGUACAUUUAAUAGCUGUGAAAAACCAUGAAGAGACAAGCAGUAAAAGUCAGUUAGUCUUUAAAGCAUGGUCCUUUGCAGAAAUAUCACUUUUUAAAGUUCCGACACUUUGAAUAAGGGUUGCUUUUCUUAUAUCCCAGAAUGAAUCUUGGGAGAAAACUAAAGGAACCAACCUUCAGAAUGGGCUGCACAGGGAGGUGGUGGGAUCACCAUCCCAGGAGGUUUUCAAGAAAAGAGUAAAUAUGGCACUUGAGGGCCACUGUUUAGCAGACGUGCUGAUGGGUGGAUUGUUGGACUAGAUGAUGUUAGUGUUCUUUCCGACCUUAACAAUUCCAUGACUGUGACCUAGCACUACAGUUACAACGUGAGGCUGGUGCACAUUUUUCUUGCUUAGUCACACACAGAAAUUUCUGAAGACUUCUCUUUCCUCUGGACAUAGCUGCAGGAUGCACAUGAUGCCUGGUCUGAGAUACUCUGCAGAACAUAAUCAGAUACAACUGAAGACAGCUUCAAAGAACAGAACCAUUACAGACAACAUUCACAAGGCAUUCUAGUCAUUGCAUAGUUUUUCCAAAUUUGAUGAAGCGAGAAGUGCUCUGCCCUGGAGGUGACUCCAUCUACCACAAAGAAAUCAAAAAACGGUUGAUCAAUUAAAUUCCCUGUAUAGUAUCCACGUGUGUGAACUGCAUGGCUCAUGAAGUAGUUUUUGGGCUACCCCAGACGAUUCAUGCAAAAGAACACGCAGCUAGGCUUUUUAAUGGCAAUCUAAGCUUCCCUUGGUAUAACUUAGGUAAACUAUCUUUUAAAAGUCCAAGAUUAUUUAGGUAACUCAAUCAGAAUAUCAAAAUUUUGCUACAGAUGUAGCUUAAUUGGGAUCAAAGUAAUUACGGACACUUUUUGCUCGUGAGGGGAGGAAGGCAGUAAAAGAGAACAGCUGGGAGGAGAAAGGGGAAAAUGUGGAGUAGAAAGGGUUGUCAAAUGUGAUCAGUGCUUUUCAGUGGUCUCUGUCAAUCAGCCUUGUGCCUGUAGUUUGCAGCAGGAACACUUUGUUUCCACUGUACUCAUCUAAUCUGUCUCUAUGAUCAGUAGGUUCCUGGCAAGUCUUCCCUGCCAUCAGUGAGGAUUCGCUGGGAUCCUUCUUCCUAACACUAAAAGGGAACAGGAGGAGGGCACCACCUAACAGCCCUGACCUUCCCCCACCUCCUUGAACAGCAAUGUUCCUUCGAGAGGUCUGUGAUUUCAAAAUAUC